UAGGGAAUCUUCGGCAAUGGACGAAAGUCUGACCGAGCAACGCCGCGUGAGUGAAGAAGGUUUUCGGAUCGUAAAACUCUGUUGUUAGAGAAGAACAAGGACGUUAGUAACUGAACGUCCCCUGACGGUAUCUAACCAGAAAGCCACGGCUAACUACGUGCCAGCAGCCGCGGUAAUACGUAGGUGGCAAGCGUUGUCCGGAUUUAUUGGGCGUAAAGCGAGCGCAGGCUGUUUCUUAAGUCUGAUGUGAAAGCCCCCGGCUCAACCGGGGAGGGUCAUUGGAAACUGGGAGACUUGAGUGCAGAAGAGGAGAGUGGAAUUCCAUGUGUAGCGGUGAAAUGCGUAGAUAUAUGGAGGAACACCAGUGGCGAAGGCGGCUCUCUGGUCUGUAACUGACGCUGAGGCUCGAAAGCGUGGGGAGCAAACAGG
rnacentral:rRNA from 2 species